GGCUUGUUUUGAGACACUCAAAACAUUCGCAAUGUCCAUCUAAGAGCUUUCGCCUUUGCCUGGCUUGAGAGGUUGUGCUGCUCAAUCCUUCCUUGGAUGUCUGAAACC